AAGAAAAGAAAUGUUUUUGAUGGAAUUAAGUAUGCUAUGUGAUAUACGUCACAGAAUAACUCUUUUCACAUAUAUAUCAUAUUGUACAUAUCUUUCUACACUCAUAUCUAUAUAUACAUUUAUGUUCAAAUGUACAUAUUAUUACACGCUUCCAUAUAAUUAUGUUUAACUAUUUACAACUUCAUUAGGAGAAGGACACAAAAUGGAAGAUGAUAAUGAAUUGGUGAGAAUCCAUCAAGGUGUACCUUUAGAUCCGGCUAAAGAUUAUACAGAAGCUGUCAAAAAUAAAAAUAAGCAAAUGACUUUUAAAAAUUAUGGUUUUUGGCAUCCCCCGUCUAAUCAUGUUUUUUCUUAUCCUGAUAUAAAAGCUAAAGGAAGAGGUGGCUAUGCUAGUGAAAUAAUAAAGGCACAAAUCAUUCAAAAUAAACAUGAAAAUAUUAAAAAGAAGGUACCUAUAUAUAUAUAUAAUUAAUUAGUUUAUAAUUUAUAACAUUGCUUUAUAUAUAAUUCUACUCGUCUUUUGCUUAUAAUACAAUUUUGUUGUUUUUUUCAGAUGAAUGUAGAAAACAUAAAUGGUAACUUACUAUUAUUUGC
rnacentral:lncRNA from 1 species